AUGCUAUGCCGGCCUAGAUGGGCAGGUGGACUUGGAGUGACUAACCUCAAGUGGAUGAAUAUUGCACUCCAAGCGAAGUGGAUGUGGCUUCAGGGUGCAGAUGCGACCAUGCCUUGGGGUGAGUUUAAGUUCAGCAUUCUGGAGGGGGCCAGAGCUCUGUUUCAAGCGGCGGCAAGAAUGCACCUUGGAGACGGUAGGACAACUCUAUUUUGGGAAGAUAGGUGGUGCAAUGGCUAUCGACUUCAGGAGUUGGCCCCAGGGAUAUAUUCCAAAGUAGCCAAGAGGGUGAGAAGCACAAGGACAGUGGAAGAUGCACUGCUACACGCAACAUGGGCAAGAGAUGGCAGACCGAACAUGAAUGAGGAUGAGCUAGACCAAUUCCUGCAACUCUGGUGCAGGUGGAAGGCACAAAUUUGGAUGCACAGCGGCCGGAUCAACUUUUGUGGUCGUGGAAGAAAGAUGGUCAGUUCUCGGUCCGAUCUUCAUUUGCGGCUAAGUUUGCCACACACCAUGUUUCUCCCACGGCUGGCUUCACUUGGGCAUCGAAGGCCCCCCUUGCGAUGUCGCUUCUUCGUCUGUCUUGCGCUUAUGGGCAGAGUGUGGACAUCGGACAGGCUCGCACAGCAAGGGCUUCCACACUAG
rnacentral:rRNA from 1 species